AUUUUUAUACGACCGCAAAAAAUUUUUGCGGUCGUAUAUUGGUAUGACGUUGGCGUAGUCGUCCGAAGACACAUUGGUUUUCGCACUCUAACUUUAGUUUAAGUGAAUGGAUCUCUUUGAAAUUUUACCAUAAGGUUCAAUACCACAAAAGGAAGGUUGGGAUUGAUUUUGGGGGUUAUAGUCCUAACAGUUUAGGAAUUAGGGGCCAAAAAGGGGCCCAAAUAAGCAUUUUUCUAGUUUCCAGAAAAUAAUUUGUGGAGCGGUGUAUGGAUCUCUCUGAAAUUAUACCACAAGUUUCCAUACCACAAAGAGAUGGUUAAGAUUGGCUUUGGGGGGUUAUGGCUCAAACCGUUUAGGAAUUAGGGGCAAAAAAGGGGGAAAAACAAGGGUUUCCUGGUUAAUGGACAAUUAAAAAAAAGUACAAUGUAAUGUUUAGAUUACCUCCCUUACACUGCUUUUAAAUCAUGUAUAAAGAAAUGUUGUAUUGUCUUGAGGUGAUUAGCUGUCAAUUUAUUUUUAGAAGUUACUAUUUAAAAAUGCUGAUUAAGGAAUAUUAAUUUUAGCCAUGAUUAUGUAUGUCAUUUUCUAUUUUAAGACUUUUAUGAUGUAUUUAAAUGGGUAAUUAUGGUUGCAAACUCCAUUGGAAAUUUGAAUUGAGAUUAUGACCAUAUCUUGAGGGAAAGAAUUUUUUUUUUUGGAAAAAGGGGGGGGGAG